rnacentral:lncRNA from 1 species
GGUCGCGGUGUGUUUCAGUUACAAAACGGGAUUUUUUCGCUCCUCUCUCCCCUCUCUGCCUCAGAGGAUCUGCAGUUUCAAAAAGCCGAUUGAGCACGGCGUGAAAGCGCGAGGCUGACGACCGGGGGGGCCUCCUACCGCCACUAGCGCAAUCCUCGUUCCGUGCCCCGCAAGGAGGAGCCCCAGUGGAACCCACAGCGCAUCGCAUCCCCGCUUUCCCCCCCCCCUCAUAUCCCCGGCACCUCGCACCCCCCGUGGAUGUCACCAGCAUCGCUGUUUCAAGGCUGGGGAUGGUAUUCCCAGCUCAGCCGGGCGCUUUCAUUCAUAAAACUGCAAGGAGACAUCCAGACUUUGGUCACCCCUCUGUAUCCAGUGCUGGGACUGGGCCAGGGAUGCCUUUAUGCUGCCUCAGCUCAAAGUUGGCCCAGCAGGACCUCAAUCUUAUGGCCACCAAGACUAUGAUGGAUGUUCUUCUGGAUCCCUGUUAUCUACAAAUUAAAUCCAAUACAAUAGGAUCCCCUAAAUCCAAUUACAGCACUCUGCGUCUGCUUCGCUGCUCCUUUCUGGGAGGAUAG